rnacentral:tRNA from 1 species
ACUAGCGUAGUUAUUUUAAUAGCUUAUUUACAUUAAGUUGAUAGCUUCGGCUCGUU